UUAACUGGCAUCUUGUUUUAAUUAUGCCACUUGCAAACUGAAUGUAUUAUGGUUUGACCACUUAAGUCACUCUGGAGGAAAGCUCUGGAACUGGGCUUUUAAUUGGAUUGGCUAAAGAUAAAUCAAGCAUAACCACAUGUGAAUUUCAAACAAAUGAUUCUAUUUUAUUAGGCAGAUAGAGUGAGCUUUUACCCUUGCACGUUAUAGUUACUCAUUGUCUCCUAUUCCCAACAUUGUUAAUAUUCUUUUCUUUUCCUUUUGUUUAUCUGUUCUGCCGGAGGGUUAAUAUUUCAUGGAGUUGAAACUUGGAUUAUUGCAUUGAUCUUAUUAGGCAAAAAAAUGCUGCAUUUCCUUUAUUUAGCAUUCAGGAGCAAGAUCUUUGCACCUCUGCCUACUCUUCUCUUUCCUACUCUAUGCACAGCAGAGCCAAACCUAGAACAGCAGCCAAAGCUUCGGAUGGUCUGGAAUGUGGAUUAAGAGCUGUCUGCAUAGCUCAGAACCGGCCCAGAAGGAGGAAGAGAAAUAAUUCCUAAUGUUGUCAAGUCCAACUCUGAAAUGUCCAAAGCACUAUGGAGCCUCUGGAUGGAUGGAAGUGACAAAGUCCCUUCCUCAUUGUGAUUAUUGACAAACAACGUUUGCCUGUUUCAUCACCUUCUGCAGGUACCAAGUCUCCCUGGUAGAAAGCCAAGUAGGAGAUGAAAGUAAGCCUGAAAAAUCAAGGAGAAGCUGGAAUUUGACAGUUAAAAAAUGAAAACAUGUUGAAACCUACCACGGCAUUAUCUGGAGUCCUCACUUCCUAAAAUGCAGCACCCCUGAUGGAACAAGUUGCACUCCAACCUAGCUUCUAUUGGUGCCUAAGCUACUUAUGAACUGUGACCACAUUUGGAAGAUGCAUGUAAUACUUUUUCAGUAGCCUAAAAUCAAAUGGCCCAUUAGGCUGCAUACUGGUGACCUUCAGAAAUAUUCAAUAGAGACGACCUUAGAGAGUGGAGGAAUUUAAUAGUGUGAUGCUUUCCACUAGGCAAAUAGACAUUGAAUAGAAGAAAGAUUUGCUUUAUGGUGGAAGGAAAAUUUAUCUGAUAGGCAAUUUCAGCAAUGUGGAAGCAUAGCCAGGAUUUCUCCAUAGUGACUGGCUCUCCACAAACUUACACAGCUGAUUAAGUUUGCCAUUGAGACCCGCAGACCCAUCCUCUGCUGCAUUCCUUACUUCCAGGAGCUCUGCAUUUCAGUCUACAGGGCACUGUCCUUGGAUACAUAUCUGUCAAAAGCUGCUCUUUUCUCUGAUGUGACUCUUCUAUGAUUCACUCCAGCCAGUUGCUCCCAUCACCUUUCUCCAUCUUUCACUCCAAAUGCAACCAACUGGCCAAGUAUUAUUGUUUUCUAGCUUUAUUCCCCUGUGCUUAGAGAUCAUACUUUUUAGGAUGUUGAUACUUUGAAUUUUGUUGAAAAUUGCUUUAUAUCCCAGCAGCAUAUAAUCAAUUUUGACAAAUGUUCCAUGUGGACUUAAAAAGAAUGUGCAUUCUGCAGCUGCUGGAUACAGUGCUGUGCUAAAAAUCCCCAACUCUAACUAUGGAUUUGUCUAUUUCUCCUUUCAUUUCUGUCAGUGUUUGCUUUAGAUAUUUUGAAGCUAUAUUAUUGGGUACAUAAAAAUUUAGAAUUGUUUUAUGGUCCUGUUGGACUGACUCUUCUGUCAUUAUAAAAUAUUUCUCUUUAUCUCUUAUCUACUUUAUGCAAUAACCAUAUACCGACAUCCUUGGUCUUUUAUUUAAGGUAUGCAUGUUGGAUUAUAUCUUAUAAUCCUCUUACUUUUAAUCUUUCUGUAUCUUUAUACUUAAAGUGUGUUUCUUAUAAGCAAUAGUUUUUAAGUCUAAUUUCACAAUCUUUCUCUUUUAAAUGGAAUAAGUCUACAUAUUCAUAUUUAAUGAUAUAUUUGAGUUUAAAUCUGUUAUUCUACAAUUUAUUUUCUAUUAUUAGCCCACCUCUGUUUGUUUCUUUUUAUCCCUUUCUUGCCUUUUUUUGACCAAUCAAGUAUUUUUAUUGAUCUGUUUUAUCCCUCUAUUGGCUUGUUAGUUAUAUGAUCUUUUACUAUUUUUAAAUGUUACCCUCAAAAUCACAGCAUUUAUUCAUGAUUUAGAAUAUAAUAUACAUUAAUAUUUUACCACUGUUUGUAAAAUUCAAGGUCUUUAGAACACUUUAACUCUAUUUAUUCCCUCUGUAUUCUAUUUUAUAAAGUAGGCCUUUGAAAUUAUUUACACUUCCCUGUUUCUUUAUUGUUGUUACUCAUCUGUUAUGACAUCACAUCCUUUUAUGUGCUUAUAUUUUGCUUUAUCUUUCUGUUAUUUAGCAUACAAUUUAAAGUAAUUUUUUCAAGGAUUUCUGAUGGGAUGUUCUCAAGCCUCUGAAUGUCUCAAAUUGGCCUUCUCUUGCAUUUCCACAUAAAUAACAAGUUCUCUGAAUAUAAAAGAUAGCAUUCACAAACUUGAACCCUUAUUGAUAAUCUGAUUUUGUUUUAAAUCAUGAGACUUAAAGGAGUAUUUUUUAAAUGGUAAUUCAAAUAUUUUCCAGUUUUUGUCUCGAGGGUCUUUUCUCAUUGGUUUUACCUGUUACAGUUCUCUAUUUAUUUAUUUGUCUAUGCCUUUAAGUGCCAAGCCCUAUGCCAAGGAUAUAACAAUGAAAGAUAUAAUCACUGCUUUCAAGUAUGCUCGGGGUUUAGAUAAAUAAAAUACUCAUUAAAAUUUAAUAGGUUAAGGACCAUAAUGUGGGAAAGAUAAGGCAGCAUGGGCUCACGGAAGAAGAACACAAAGUCCAGAUGAGAGUCUCAGGUAAGGCCUCCUGGAAGAAGAUGCAGGAUCUUCUACACCACAAUAAUUUCUGGACAGUAUUAUUAUUAUUAUUACUUUAAAUCUAGCCUCUGCCUCUCUGAAAACAGCCAUGAUCAUAAUUGUAAUAAACAUAUCUUUGUGCCCAUGGCUGGGACUCCCUCCUAGUUGGCCUGAGAAAGCCUAUUUAUCUUCUCAACCAGUUAGUCCAGGAGAAAGUUACAACUGCAGGAGGAAUUGUAAUUUAAUAUUAUUCGUGGUAACUAAUGGCUGGAAGAUUGCUCAUUGGUCUCAGUACAGCCAGUUGACUGAGUUAGGGCUUUUGAGGAAUUGGUGUUGGGAAAUUCUAACGCAGAACCCAUAGUUGGCCUCUUCAAGCACAGUGUGAUAAACGACUUGAAUGACAUUUUCAAAUACUCUUGGAGGCAGCCAAGCAUGACAUCUUAGCUUGAACAUUUUUCACCUUCCUCUCCCAGCAAUGCUUGUUUACAAAGAUUGAUGAGGCUAAAACAAAUAAUAAAAAUUAUUAUUUGUCUUAAUUUAGUUUUUCCCAGAAGAAGACCUUGAGACAAGGUUUCAAGUGCAAGUUGUGAAUUUGGAAGGUGCAGAGAACACCAGCAUUGAAGUGAGGCAGUGAGACAGGGAUGGGAAGGGAGCCAGUAAAGGGUUCAUUCUUAGGACAGCUACUACAAAGGGCAACCAGAGCUUCAUCUCUAGUGGAGACCUCUGAUUGCAAGUGUAGAGCACAUGCCUUAGAGUUUUCUCACCCAAGAAGCAGAAGAUCUAGGAUAGCUGUACAGUAGUUCUGGGCAGACCAUGGUUGAGGUCUGCUCCCAGAAGAGUUGAUACCAGCCCUUGCAGCUGCCCUACGAUGAGUGUGGGUAGAGUGGCCUUCAGGGAAUUUAGAGAGAACCCUCACACAGAAUAGAGAUACUGGCAGUCAAGAGUGGGAAGGGGCUCUGUGAAGUAGUAAGGCCUAAGUGCUAUGGACAGGGCCAGUGUCUGCUCCUGGUUCUUCAUGCUGUUUGUCCAAUGCACACCAAUCCCCGUAAAAUAACUUCUGGGAUUUAAAAAAAAAUCCCACUUUCUGGAUCCUUGAAGCAAAACAAACAAACAAAACAUGUUUGAAAAGCUCAAGCUAAAUCAUCUCUUCCCUCCUCCUGGAACAUCCAGCAACUCAGGGCAAUCCAACAUGGUCCCCAGGGCCAUCUUUUCUUACCUAGCCUGCCUCUCCUGGGGAUAAUUAACUUCACUGCCUUUGGCAUAGCCCAUUUUUCAACCAAACAGUUUGAGGGGGAAAAAAUUUAUUAUUUCAUGGAGCAAACAGUUACUGAGCAGCUCCUCUGUUCUCCCAGCAGGGCCGUUAAACACAGUAGUUAUAGUACUUUGUGUUUUUUUGCCAUUCACAAGCAGCUUCCUCCCUCCUGCAAAUUCCCAUCACAACAAAUCUGUGGUCAUGCACAGCCACUCCACUACUCUUAGGCCUAAGCCUAACUAUGGGUUCUACCCUUAGAAUUUCCCAACACUAAUUCCUCAAACUUUCAUAUUUGUCAUCAUAAAGUAUAUAAAAAUGAUGACAUGAAUGAUUGAAACAAUAUAAUUAGUAAACUAUAAUUAAUAACUAUUUCAAACUUUGUCUUAUGCAGUUAUUAUUUAUCUUAUAAAGCAUAUUGUAUUUGCGUUGCAAAAUACAGUUUCCUGCUAAUUAGCCACAGGAUAUUAAAAAGUAUUGAAAAAUGUAGUCAGGCAUGAGAAAAAUAAUAACAAAAAUCAUAAGUCAGAAAGAUGAAUAUAUGCAAUCUAUGUUCUCAAAGGAAAGUAUAACAACUGGAAACAACAACAAAAGAUUAAACAAAUUUUAUGAAUACUCUUUUGAAUAAAUUUCUGAUUAAUGAGGAAAUAAAGGGAUUUGAAAACAGCUAAUUGAAAAAUAAUGAGAAUCAGAAUAAUUCACAUUUAAGAUUAUGGAAUAUGCGUAAAGUUGUUCUCAAUAAAUUGUAGUAUUAAAUGCAUGUUACAUUUUUAAAAGUAAAAGCAAGAGAAAAUAAUUUCAACUAAAAAGUGAAGAAAAAAGGAACAAAGGAAGCAGAAAUAAAUAUAUUAAAAUAUAAAAACAAAAAGUAAAAUUAGCAGCAGGAAAACGCACAAUGGCAUGAAUAGAUAGUGAAUCUCAGAGAACGUCUUUGAAAAGAAUCAGUAAAAUGGCCCAGCUGCUGGAAAAUCUAAUUUUAAAAUGCCAUAAUCAAAAUGAAAAAAGGAAAGAAAAAAAUGGCUAGAACUUAUAUAAAAGUUUUUAAAAAUUACAGUAUAAUUAAGUGCUUUUAUUUUGAAAAUCAUUUAAGAUGGAAAUUGUAUUAAGAAAUUUAGAUGACUAGAAUUGACUCAAUUGGAAUCACAUGGUUAAAUCACUUAAGGAAGAAAUUAAGAAAGUUAAAGAAUUAUUCUCUCACCCCAAAGAAGGUGAUUGUAGGCUGAAACAUUAUAAAGCAAUGGCAAUUAAAACUGGUUCUGGGGAUGGAAUAGACAGAUUGGGCCAGCUAGAAUGCUUUGGCAGCAAGAAACAGAAAAAUCUGCUUGAAAUUAAUUGAAACAUUAAGGAAAUAUAUUACCUUAUGUUAUCAGGAAGUCCACAGGUUGGUGGCUCCAAGCAGCACAUAAUCAAUGCCUCGAGGAUGUCACCAAGAAGCCCAGUUCCUACCAGGUCUCCACUUAGCAUCCUGACCGUGCUGGCCCUGGGCAUGGUUGCAAAGUAACUGUGGCAGUUUCAGGCAUCAUAUCCAGACAUGAUAAGAUCUGCAGAAAGGAAGAGUCUGCAUCUUCCUUGGGGUUCCAUUUAAGGGUGAGAGACUUUUGCCCUAUGCCAGCAGAUAUUGCCUCACAUCUCAAUGGCCAGCAACGGGUCACACAUCCAUCCCUAAAAUCUUUGGCAAGGGAGUGCCUUAACCAUGGUUAGAUAAUUAAAGACAUUGGGUAUUGAAUUAUUCAAACCAAUACACAGAUUGUUAGAAUGAAGACUCCAUGUCCGCUCUUGGUGUGUUUCAGGAGUGUUUUAAACUUUUCCUCAUGUAAGUUUACAUGAUUCUUGUGAAGUUUAUAUUUAGAUAUUUAUAUUUUCUGUUGCUAAUAAAAACAAAAGCAUCUAUGCCACUACAUUUUCCAACUCAUUGCUGUUGUUAUAUAUGAAAGCUAUAGAUUCCUACGUAUUAAUUUUUAUAGCCCAUUUAUUUGCUGCAGUCUCUUUUUGUUUGUAAAGAUUUUCAGUCGAUUCUUUUAGAUUUUCCAGGCCAUAUUAUCCACAAAUAGGGAGAAUUUAACCUUCUUUUUCCCAGUGUUUAUAAAUGAAGUAUCAUGCUUUUGUCCAAUAAAAGUGGCAAAUACUUCCAGCACAAUAUUAAAUGGAAAAGGUAAUAAUGAGCAUCCUUACUGUGUUCCUAAUUCUACUGUUUACAAAUUUCUUUUUAAAAAGUGUUUUAAGAAUGGGUCAAAUGCCUUUUCAGCAUCAAUAUGUUAAAAAUUUUCUCCUAAAAUCUAUUAAUAUGUUGUAUUAGUCUGUUUUCACACUGCUAUAAAAAAUACCCAAGACUGGGUAAUUUAUAAAGGAAAGAGGCUUAAUUGAGUCACAGUUCCACAUGGCUGGGGAGGCCUCAGGAAACUUGCAAUCAUGGCAGAAGGGGAAGCAAGACAAGUCUUACACGGCAGCAGGAGAGACUAGGGCAAGGGGGAACUUCCAAACACUUUCAAAACAUCAGCUCUCAUGAGAACUUCCUCACUAUCAAGAGAACAGCAUGGGGGAAACUGUUGCCAUGAUUCAAUCACCUCCCACCAGGUCCCUCCCUCAAUACCUGGGGAUUACAAAUGGAGAUGAGAUUUGGGUGGGGACACAAAGUGAAACCAUAUCAUAUGCUGACUUGUAAUGAAUACCUUUCCUAAUACUAAUCUAUCCUGGCAUUUCUGAAAUGGAAACUUUGUGGUCCUGCUACUAGUCUUUUAAUGAGCUGUUUGAAUCUAAUUGCUGUUGUUAUAUUUACAACUGUAAUAUGUAUAUUUGCAAGUGAGAUUAACAUGUAGGUUUUUUUGUACAAUUUUUGUUACAUGUUGGUGUCAACGUUAUCCACCUUAUAUAAAAAAUUUUGCAACUUUUUAUAUGUCCUGGAAAAGUUCAAAUAGCAUUGUAAUAACCUAUCCUAUGGAAGCUUAGUAAUAAUUCUUAUGUGAAACUAUCUGGGCUGAUAUAUAUGUUCUAUGAGUUGAUGGAGGCUUAUUCUUUAAAUACUUUAUUUCUCUAAUGAAAACUUGUCCAUAUAGUUUUGUUUCAUGUAAUCAUUGUGUUUCUUCUGGAAUUAAUUUUAGUAAAUUAUAUCUUCCAAGAAAAUUAUUUAUUACAUCCAAGUUUUAGAAUUUCAUUCACAUUUGCAUAUUGAAAACCUACUUGUAUAGAAUUGUACAAAUAGCCUUAUUUUUUAAAAUUAUUAAGUUGUUGAGGUUAUUUUCUUUUGCCUUUUCUUAUUGUUUGUGCUUCCUCCCUUUUGCUUGAUUAAAUUUACUGCUUGUCAAUCUAUUUCAUUCAUUUUUUAAGAGAAAUAGAUCCUAAUUUGUUAAUUCUACAAUUCUUCUAAUGCAUUGAUUUUUGCUUCCAUCACUAUAAAAUUCUUCCUUCUUCUUUUAGUUUAUUUUGUGUUUUCUCCCUAUUUUUUAAAGUUAGAUACUUGGCCGGGCACGGUGGCUCAUGCCUGUAAUCCUAGCACUUUGGCAGGCCAAGGCGGGCGGAUCAUCUGAGUCGGGAGUUUGCGACCAGCCUGACCAACAUGGAGAAACCCUGUCUCUACUAAAAAUACAAAAUAAGCCAGGUGUGGUGGCCCACACCUGUAAUCCCAGCUACUAGGGAGGCUGAGGCAGGAGAAUCGCUUGAACCUGGGAGGCAGAGGUUGCGGUGAGCCAAGAUCGCGCCAUUGCACUCCAGCCUGGGCAACAAGAGCGAAACUCCGUCCCAAAAUAAAUAAAUAAAUAAAAUAAAAUAAAAUAAAAUAAAAUAAAGUUAGAUACUUAAUGCAUUGAUUUACUUAGUUUUAAUUUUGUUGAUAUAAGUAUUUAAGACUAAAAUUUUUCUGAGCUCUGCUCUGCUUAUGUCUCACAGUUCUGAUGUGUAUUUUAUUUCUCAUUGUUUUCUGGAAACAAUGAGUAAACAUAAAUGUACUUGCAAAUUAUCUGGGUAUCUUAUAAAAUGUAGACGCCAACUAAGACCUGGGGCACCCAGGAUUCUGCAUUACUAACAAGCUCACAAGAGAAACAGAUGCUGCUGUUUACAGACUGCAAUUUAAAUAGCAAAAAUAAGGGUUUUAUUUUAAUUCCCAGUUUUUUUCUGAUGUUAUUAAUUUCUAGUUUCAUUGCAAUGUGAUGAUGUGAUUGGAGAUCAUUGCCUGUAUUAUACUUGCUUCUUCAAAUUCAUUGAGCUUUUCUGGUGGCUAAUAUGGGGUCAGUUAUCAUCAAUGAUCAUGUGCUUUUGUCAAGAAGAUGCACUUAUUGUUAUUAGGAUGCAGAGUUCCACCUAUAUCUACCUCGUUGCUUAUUUUCCUUAGUUAAUUUUUGUCCACUUGAUCUUUCUUGGACCAAGAAUGUUAAAUUAAAAUCCCCUAUUGUUAGUGUGUUCCUGUUUCUUUCUCUUUGUAGCUCCUGUACUUUUGCUUUAUCAAACUGUAUCAUUUGGUACUUAGGUACAUAGAAAUUCAAAGUAUUAUGUCUUUUUGAUAAUUGUCACCUUUUUGGAAUGAUAUACUAUGUCCUUGCAUAGGAAUAUUCAACAUCUAAUGAGUCAUUUCCCCUCAUUAGUUUAUUGGAAUCAUAUUAAAUUUAUAUUAAUUUAAUUUUAUUAAUUUAAUUAUUUUAGAAUUAAUUUAAUAUUUAAUUAAUAUGAUUCUUUUAAAAAUACUAACAGCUUACCGGGUAUUUUUUCCCUAGAACUAGACAAACUAGUUCUAAAGUUGAUUUGGAAAAAUAAGCAAAAGGAGCCAAGAAGAUUCUGAAAAGGUCUGGCUCUACCAGGAAUUAAAAGUAUGGUCAAACUUCAAUUAACUACAAUGAUGUGCUACUGGUUCAUGGAUAGAAAGAUGGAUACAUGGAAUAGAAAUAUAAGCCUUGAAAUGAAUCCAGAUACACAUGGGAAUUUAGUAUAUGAUAAAGGUGGCAUCUCAAAUAUAUAAAGAUUUUUUUUUCCAAAAGUGUAUUGGAACAAUUGAGGAACCAUGUGAUGAAAGAUAAAGCUGGAUCCAUAUCUCUACUACACGUUCCAAAAUAAUAUAAAUGUAAAAAAUAAAAUAAAAUAAUUAAGAAGAAAAGAUAGGUUAUUUUACAUUAGAGUAGGAAAGAUUGUCUAAAAAUAAUGCAAAAGUUCACAGUUAUAAAAUAAAGCUUUGAUAAAUUGUGUUAAAUUAAUAAUACAAAGCUGUCACAUGACCAAAAUACCACAUAAAAAGUCAAAAGACAAAUGAAAAAAUGCUCCCCAAAUUGCAACUCAUAGAGAAAUGCCUAAUCUUAAUAUAGAAAAAGCUACUGGAAAUUAAGAAAGAAUAAUGCAACAAGCCAAUAAAAAUUUGAUUUCAAAAAAUGAAGACAAUUUACAGAUUAAGAAAUAAAAGGUGGCCUAUUAAAAUAUGAAAAGAUGCUCAAUGUCUACAAAAAAGGGUCAAACUCUGUAAAAUAUUUAAAGAGGCUUAUUCCAAGCCAAAUGUGAGGACCGUGAUCUGUGACUUCAUCUCAGAACAUCUUGAGAACAUUUGGCCUUGGUGGUUUGGUUACAACUUGAUUUUUUGCAUUUUAGGGAGACAGAAGUUACAGGCAAAUACAUAAAUCCACACGCAUAAGAUUUACAUUGGUUCAGCAUGAAAAGGUGGAACAUUUCAAAGCUUUGAGGGGCUUCUAGGUCAUAGGUGAAUUCAAAGAUUUCUUGAUUGGCAACUGGUUGAGAGAGUCAGGUUUUGCCUGAAGUAUUCAAAUUAGUAGAAAGAAAUGCUUAGGGUUAAGAUAAUAGGGGCUGUGGAAGCCAAGGGUUCUUGUUAUAUAGAUAAGCCUCCAGGUAGCAGGUGUCAGAGAGAAUAGAUGGUACAUGUCUCUUAUCAGACCUUAAAAGGUGCCAAACUCUUAGGAGUUAAAUCUCUCCUAAAUCAGGAAAAUACCUGGAAAGGGAAUGGGAUUCUCUACAAAAUGUAGACUUUCCCCAUAAGAGAUAUCUUUACAGGGCCAUUUCAAAUAUAUCAAAUAAAUAUAUUUGGAGGUAAAAUACUUCAAUUUCUUUCAAGGCCUGCUAUGUGUCAUGUGAUGUUAUGCUAGUUGGCAUUUGGUAUCUCAUUGCCACAAAAAGUCUGUUUUUAUCAGUCUUAGGAUCUCUAUUUUAAAUGUUAAUGCUGGUCAGUUGUGCCUGAAUUCCAAAGGGAGGUGAGUACAACAAGGUAUGUCCAACCCCCUCUUCCCAUCAUGGUCUGAACUAGUUUUUCAGGUUUACUUUGGAAUCACUUUACUUGUAAUAUAAGACAUCUAAAUUAAAAUCACACUGCAAUAAUUUCAAUGCUGUUCCCUCUGCUUCCCAUCCUUCAUUCUCUUAAUAUCACUAUUUGGGCUAAAUUUUAUUCUGUGUUUACAGUGUUAUGCUUAUACAAAUAUAAUUCACAGCUGAGUAUUGUAACAUACUACAAUGAUGUCUCUUUUCUUACUUUUUGUUUUUCCUAAAGUUAAUAAUUGCCUUGCUUUUGAUUUGCUUAGACUUCUUUUUACUCUUGCUAACUCUCCCCACAACUUCCUCUCAGUGUGAUUUUCUACAAGGCCAAUCACAUCAUGUAAACUGUUGUUUCUACUUUUUUCUUAGAGACAUGCUUUCUGGGAACCUCCAUUCUACUCUCCUCGGAGUUGGUGGCCUGUUAGGCCUGAUGAGAAGCUGUAACCCUAAGAUUUCUUUUUAUUGUCAUAUUCAAAUUUCCUUUGCCUUUCUUCUGGGUUGUAUUCUCUAUUCUGGUAUCACAUAUCUUCUUCCCUUUUGGUUUAUUCCCAUGGUACAGCACAGAGGAGGGACUUGAUCAAGAGGGUGAAUGUAGAAUCUGGCUUCUAGUGCUUGGGAAAUUGGCCUGGGGUCUCUGGACAAAUAAAAAACAUUACUAAACCACAAUAGUAAACAACAUACCUACAGGGAGGAGAGAACAGAAAGGAGUAGAAUAUUUGGAUUGGAUUAUGCAGAGAGGCAAAAACAUUUGGAAAAAUAUAUUGUCCUCAUAGAUUGCUUUCAUCUAGGGCUUUGCCACUUCCCAAGUCACCUCUGUUUAUCUCCUUUCAAUGUGUUCAGUACAGGCACUUGACACCUGGCAGUCACAGCUGGACUGCUUGGGUUAUGUGCUGGCCUGUCAGGGACCUGGGCUGCAGUGACCCUUGCAAGAAUCUGUGACUGUAUGAUUAGGAUGAUUCCUGGGCAGGACAGCCUUGAUUUGCUGUUAAAUGCCUUGUCUUUUGAGUGCAUCUCCAGGCAGGCAGAGAGUCUUAUUCUCUUUAGAAGCUGUCAAAAAGCUCAGAUGUUUUCUUCAGUUGAUGCUGAAAUUACACACCCCCUCCUCAAGCAAAUGCUCCUAGGAAAUUGUUUAGACACUUUGUUUGAGCUUCCAAUAUUGUCCUCAGAUUUAAAAGAAGGUGAGUCACUGUCCUAGUAAAGUUGACUCAUUCUUUGAGUUCACCUGGAACAAACCAGUCCCCCAAAAAGGAAGCGUCAAUGAAGGUAAAAUGAAGAAAGUGUUAGGAGAGGGCAGGCACUCCACCAGUGCGAAAUGAAAGAUGAAGAUGAUGUGAGAGCACAGAAAUUCCCUAAAAUAUCAAGGAGUUACUUAAUAGGCCAAGGUUAGGAGAGUCUUUGCAAUAAAUACUCACUUAUGCUGAAAUAGUGUGGGCUGGGCCUGCCCCCUGCAGUACCCAUGGAAUGUGGGGAGAGUUGAUCCUGCUAAAAGAAUUCACCUACAGGCAUUGAGAGUGUGACCCAUGACAUUUGUUCUACAAGCACUGGCUGGCUGAUUAGGGAAUGGGAACAAAAGGGCAUAGUUCCUCCCCUCAAAGAAUUAUCAGUUGAGGAGGAAAAACAGACAAGUUAACAACAUAAAAUUGAAUGAAACCAGGGCUACAUGAAAGAACAAAGUGAAACCCCUUUUUUAUAGUUGUUUGAAUUUUAAGUUCAAGGGUACAUGUGCAGGUUUGUUACAUAGGUUACAUUUGUGUCAUGGGGGUUUGUUGUACAGAUUAUUGCAUCACCAGGUAUUAAGCCUAGUACCCAUUAUUUUUCCUGAUCCUCUCCCUCCUCCUACCCUCCACCUUCUGAUAGGCCCUAGUGUAUGUUGUUCCCCUCUAUGUGUCCAUGUGUUCUCGUCAUUUAGCUCCCACUUACAAGUGAGAACACGCAGUAUUUGGUUUUCUUCCUGUGUUAAUUUGCUAAGGAUAAUGGCCUCCACCUCCAUCCAUGUACCUGCAAAGAACAUGAUCUUAUUCUUUUUUAUGGCUGCAUAGUAUUCCAUGGCUGAUAUGUACCACAUUUUCUUUAUCCAGUCUACCGUUGGGCAUUUGGGUUGAUUCAAUGUCUUUACUAUUUUGAAUAGUGCUGUAAUGAACAUGCCCAUGCACGUGUCUUUAUAAUAGAAAAAUUUAUAUUCUUUGGGGUAUAUACCCAGUAAUGGGAUUGCUGGGUGGAAUGGUAUUUCUGUCUUUAGAUCUUUGAGGAAUCACCACACUGUCUUACACAAUGGUUGAACUAAUUUACACUCCCAGCAACAGUGUAUAAGUGUUUCCUUUUCUUCACAACCUCCCCAGCAUCUGUUUUUUGACUUUUUUAAUAAUAGCCAUUCUGACUGGUGUGAGAUGGAAUCUCAUUGUGAUUUUGAUUUGCAUGUGAUAUCCCUUUUGACUGGGAGAUUGGGGAAGGCUUCCCCACAGAGGUGGCAUCUGUGUUGAACUCCAAGAAAAGACUAAGAAUUAAUGGGAAAUGGGGGACGAGGCAUUCACAGCUGAAGAGAACAUUAGCCCAAGAACUGAAGAGUAAAAAGGCCUAUCCCAUUGGGUGAAUGGCUAAUGGCCUGAUGUAUUUGGAGUUAGGAAAGUGGGAAAUAUAGCUGAGAAGAAAAUUUGGGACAAGAUAAAGAGGCUAAAUCCUUAGAGAACCCUGAAUUUAAUUUUCAGGACCUUAGAUUUUACAACAGAGGAAACAUGUGUAACAGCCGAAAGGGUUCACCUUGUCCGCUGCCUAGACAAAGCCAACUUAUCAAGACAGGGGAAUUGCAAUGGAGAAAGAGUAAUUCAUGCAGAGCCAGCUGUGAGGGAGACUGGAGUUAUAUUACU
rnacentral:lncRNA from 10 species